rnacentral:rRNA from 1 species
UCAGACGAUGCGUCAUGUAUAUCAAUAAGCGGAGGAAAAGAAACUAACAAGGAUUCCCUCAGUAACGGCGAGUGAAGCGGGAAGAGCUCAAAUUUGAAAUCUUCAAGGUUUUACCUUGACGAAUUGUAGUUUAAAGAAGUGUUUUCUGCUGUUGAAGUUUUGGUAAAAGUUCUUUGGAAUAGGACAUCAUAGAGGGUGAGAAUCCCGUAUUUGACCAUUACUUUCAGCUUUGUGAUACACUUUCAAAGAGUCGGAUUGUUUGGGAAUGCAGUCCAAAAUGGGUGGUAAAUUUCAUCUAAAGCUAAAUAUUGGCGAGAGACCGAUAGCGAACAAGUACCGUGAGGGAAAGAUGAAAAGAACUUUGAAAAGAGAGUUAAACAGUACGUGAAAUUGUCAAAAGGGAAGCGUUUGACACCAGUGUUGUUUUCUCGAAAAUCAAUUAAAAAUGGCUCGAUUUUGUAUUGUUUGAGACCUUAAAAGCUCACUGUACAUUUUUCGUGUCUUUUUUAAUGCACUUUUCGUUUAACAAGUCAACAUCAGUUUCUUUUGUUGUAAAAGGGUCAUUGGAAGGUGGCUUUCUUUUCGGAGAAAGUGUUUAUAGCCUUUGGCCUCUGCAAUCGGAGAGGACUGAGGUCUGCAGCGUAGACUCUUCGGGGUUAGAUACAUUUGUGCUAAGUUAUAGCUUUUUAUAGACAACUUGUUGACUAUAAUUAGUCUUGUAGCUUACUCGCUUAUGCUAUUUUACCUACGCUUAGGAUGUUGACUGAUAUGUAGUCGUA